CCGGCUGGAUGUAUAGACCUUUUCACAACUCUAAAGUAUAGGUUAAUGAGGAAAAUGUAAAAAACUGAAAUCCGAAGAGACAAAUUGAGAAUCUCCAGAUGGUUUCAGUCCAAGUCAGGUCUCACCUUGAUUAAGUGAUCUUCUAAAACAAGAUCAAUAAAUCCAUUUUACCCACAAACUACCUUAUAACAACGAAUUUGAUUACAGAGUAUUAAAAUCAUUACAGCUCGAUCUACA
rnacentral:lncRNA from 1 species